rnacentral:rRNA from 1 species
CCUACGUGGGGCAGCAGUGAGGAAUAUUGGUCAAUGGACGAGAGUCUGAACCAGCCAAGUAGCGUGAAGGAUGACUGCCCUAUGGGUUGUAAACUUCUUUUAUAAAGGAAUAAAACGAGGCACGUGUGCCUUUUUGCAUGUACUUUAUGAAUAAGGAUCGGCUAAAUCCGUGCCAGCCGCCGCGGUAAUACGGAGGAUCCGAGCGUUAUCCGGAUUUAUUGGGUUUAAAGGGAGCGUAGAUGGGUUGUUAAGUCAGUUGUGAAAGUUUGCGGCUCAACCGUAAAAUUGCAAUUGAUACUGGCAGUCUUGAGUACAGUUGAGGUAGGCGGAAUUCGUGGUGUAGCGGUGAAAUGCUUAGAUAUCACGAAGAACCCCGAUUGCGAAGGCAGCUUACUAAACUGUGACUGACAUUGAUGCUCGAAAGUGUGGGUAUCAAACAGGAUUAGAUACCCGGGUAGUC